GACGAACGCUGGCGGCGUGCCUAAUACAUGCAAGUAGAACGAGUUGCGCACGGGUGAGUAACGCGUAGGAAACUGCCUCAUAGCGGGGGAUAACUAUUGGAAACUAUAUCAAAUACCGCAUACAAUGAUAUAGACCUGCUUUGUAUUAGCUAGUUGUGGGGGUAAAGGCUCACCAAGGCAACGAUAAAUAGCCGACCUGAGAGGGGGAUCGGCCACACUGGGACUGAGACACGGCCCAGACUCCUACGGUAGGCAGCAGUGGGGAAUAUUGGACAAUGGGCGCAAGCCUGAUGCAGCCAUGCCGCGUGUAUGAAGAAGGCCUUCGGGUUGUAAAGUACUUUCAGCGGGGAGGCGUUACCCGCAGAAGAAGCACCGGCUAACUCCGUGCCAGCAGCCGCGGUAAUAC
rnacentral:rRNA from 1 species